GUGAGGAAUAUUGGACAAUGGGCGCAAGCCUGAUCCAGCCAUGCCGCGUGCAGGAAGACGCAUCUAUGGUGUGUAAACUGCUUUUGUACGGGAAGAAACACUCCCUCGUGAGGGAGCUUGACGGUACCGUAAGAAUAAGGAUCGGCUAACUCCGUGCCAGCAGCCGCGGUAAUACGGAGGAUCCAAGCGUUAUCCGGAAUCAUUGGGUUUAAAGGGUCCGUAGGCGGUUGAAUAAGUCAGUGGUGAAAGCCCAUCGCUCAACGAUGGAACGGCCAUUGAUACUGUUAGACUUGAAUUACAAGGAAGUAACUAGAAUAUGUAGUGUAGCGGUGAAAUGCUUAGAUAUUACAUGGAAUACCAAUUGCGAAGGCAGGUUACUACUUGUGGAUUGACGCUGAUGGACGAAAGCGUGGGGAGCGAACAGGAUUAGAUACCCGUGUAGUCC
rnacentral:rRNA from 1 species